rnacentral:rRNA from 1 species
GUGCACCAGGCGCGAAACCUCCGCAAUGCUCGAAAGAGCGACGGGGGGACUCCAAGUGCCUACGCUCAGCGUAGGCUGUUCCCGAGCCUAAAAAGCUCGGGGAGUAAGGGCUGGGUAAGACGGGUGCCAGCCGCCGCGGUAAUACCCGCAGCCCGAGUGGUGGCCGCUAUUAUUGGGCCUAAAGCGUCCGUAGCCGGCUCGGUAAAUGCCUGGGUAAAUCGUCUGGCCCAACCAGACGAAUUCCGGGUAGACUGCCGGGCUAGGGACCGGAGGAGGGAGAGGGGUACUCCAGGGGUAGGGGUGAAAUCAGCAAGGUGAGUUGCUGAUGUAACUUGCCUUGCAAGUCACAAUCCUGUAAUCCCUGGAGGACCACCGGUGGCGAAGGCGCUCUCCUAGGACGGUCGACGGUGAGGGACGAAAGCCAGGGGAGCAAACCGGAUUAGAUACCCGUGUAGU